UGGCCCACAUUGGGCACAUGGAUGUUGUGUGAUGGAGGCCCGACCGACAAACGAAACUCCAAGCCCUGCUGGAUGAAGGCACCAGCCUACACGUGGAUCCUACAGGACCCCCGUCAGCCACACGUUUGGCUCUCCCCGUUCUCCCAGGGCCAGAGGAAGCUUGGACUGGGGCACCCACGCUCAGCAGACAAAAGGGCAAGCUGAGCAGACCAUGCAUUCCCAGGCCAUGGAAAGCGAUGGGUCAUCUGCUGGCUGUGGGGCCACCAGAGGCACAAUGUCCCCACUGCUCCUCCCAUGCCCCAUGCAGAGAGCCCUGGAGCUGACUGUGGUUAUGAAGCCGGCUGCCAUGUGGACGACCUGGAUCAGAGCACGGGGUAGUCAUAUAUGACAAUCGUUUGAAAUAUCACAGCCACUCUCCCCCCACCCCCACUGGUGAUCUAUGGGCUGCGUGCCCUGUAAAAAUUAUUUAUCGGGG